rnacentral:rRNA from 1 species
AUUGAACGCUGGCGGCAUGCUUUACACAUGCAAGUCGAACGGCAGCGGGGAGGAGCUUGCUUCUCUGCCGGCGAGUGGCGAACGGGUGAGUAAUACAUCGGAACGUGUCGAGAAGAGGGGGAUAACCACCCGAAAGGGUGGCUAAUACCGCAUAAAUUCUGAGGAAGAAAGCUGGGGACCUGGGAAUAGGCCUAGCGCUUUUUGAGCGGCCGAUGUCGGAUUAGCUAGUUGGUGAGGUAAAGGCUCACCAAGGCGAAGAUCUGUAGCGGGUCUGAGAGGAUGAUCCGCCACACUGGGACUGAGACACGGCCCAGACUCCUACGGGAGGCAGCAGUGGGGAAUUUUGGACAAUGGGGGCAACCCUGAUCCAGCCAUGCCGCGUGUAUGAAGAAGGCCUUAGGGUUGUAAAGUACUUUUGUUAGGGAAGAAAAGUCAGCUGUGAAUAAUGGCUGAUACUGACGGUACCUAAAGAAUAAGCACCGGCUAACUACG